CGGAGGGUGCAAGCGUUAUCCGGAUUCACUGGGUUUAAAGGGUGCGUAGGCGGGCAGGUAAGUCAGUGGUGAAAUCCUAGAGCUUAACUCUAGAACUGCCAUUGAUACUAUCUGUCUUGAAUAUUGUGGAGGUAAGCGGAAUAUGUCAUGUAGCGGUGAAAUGCUUAGAUAUGACAUAGAACACCUAUUGCAAAGGCAGCUUACUACGCAUAUAUUGACGCUGAGGCACGAAAGCAUGGGGAUCAAACAGGAUUAGAUACCCUGGUAGUCCACGCCCUAAACGAUGAUUACUCGACAUUAGCGAUACACAGUUAGUGUCUGAGCGAAAGCAUUAAGUAAUCCACCUGGGAAGUACGACCGCAAGGUUG
rnacentral:rRNA from 1 species